CGAACGCUGGCGGCAUGCCUAACACAUGCAAGUCGAACGAGACCUUCGGGUCUAGUGGCGCACGGGUGCGUAACGCGUGGGAAUCUGCCCUUGGGUCCGGAAUAACAGUGAGAAAUUACUGCUAAUACCGGAUGAUGACGUAAGUCCAAAGAUUUAUCGCCCAGGGAUGAGCCCGCGUAAGAUUAGGUAGUUGGUGGGGUAAAAGCCUACCAAGCCGACGAUCUUUAGCUGGUCUGAGAGGAUGAUCAGCCACACUGGGACUGAGACACGGCCCAGACUCCUACGGGAGGCAGCAGUGGGGAAUAUUGGACAAUGGGCGAAAGCCUGAUCCAGCAAUGCCGCGUGAGUGAUGAAGGCCUUAGGGUUGUAAAGCUCUUUUACCCGGGAUGAUAAUGACAGUACCGGGAGAAUAAGCCCCGGCUAACUCCGUGCCAGCAGCCGCGGUAAUACGGAGGGGGCUAGCGUUGUUCGGAAUUACCGGGCGUAAAGCGCACGUAGGCGGUUAUUCAAGUCAGAGGUGAAAGCCUGGAGCUCAACUCCAGAACUGCCUUUGAAACUAGAUAACUAGAAUCAUGGAGAGGUGAGUGGAAUUCCGAGUGUAGAGGUGAAAUUCGUAGAUAUUCGGAAGAACACCAGUGGCGAAGGCGGCUCACUGGACAUGUAUUGACGCUGAGGUGCGAAAGCG
rnacentral:rRNA from 1 species